CCUACGGGUGGCAGCAGUGAGGAAUAUUGGUCAAUGGGCGGAAGCCUGAACCAGCCAAGUCGCGUGAGGGAUUAAGGCCCUGCGGGUCGUAAACCUCUUUUGCCGGGGAGCAGUGGUCCGGUCGCGUCCGGACCGGGAGAGUACCCGGAGAAAACGCAUCGGCUAACUCCGUGCCAGCAGCCGCGGUAAUACGGGGUUUGCGAGCGUUAUCCGGAUUUAUGGGGUUUAGAGGGUGCGUAGGCGGGAAUUUAAGCCGUCGGUAAAAGGUCGGGGCUCAACCCCGGCCUGCCGUCGGAACUGGGUGCCUUGAGUGGGCGAGAAGUAUGCGGAAUGCGUGGUGUAGCGGGGAAAUGCAUAGAUAGCACGCAGAACCCCGAUUGCGAAGGCAGCAUACCGGCGCCCUACUGACGCUGAGGCACGAAAGUGCGGGUAUCGAACAGGAUUAGAUACCCCUGUAGUC
rnacentral:rRNA from 1 species